AGACCCGAAACCCGGUGAUCUAGCCAUGGGCAGGUUGAAGGUUGGGUAACACUAACUGGAGGACCGAACCGACUAAUGUUGAAAAAUUAGCGGAUGACCUGUGGCUGGGGGUGAAAGGCCAAUCAAACCGGGAGAUAGCUGGUUCUCCCCGAAAGCUAUUUAGGUAGCGCCUCGUGAAUUCAUCUCCGGGGGUAGAGCACUGUUUCGGCUAGGGGGCCAUCCCGGCUUACCAACCCGAUGCAAACUGCGAAUACCGGAGAAUGUUAUCACGGGAGACACACGGCGGGUGCUAACGUCCGUCGUGAAGAGGGAAACAACCCAGACCGCCAGCUAAGGUCCCAAAGUCAUGGUUAAGUGGGAAACGAUGUGGGAAGGCCCAGACAGCCAGGAUGUUGGCUUAGAAGCAGCCAUCAUUUAAAGAAAGCGUAAUAGCUCACUGGUCGAGUCGGCCUGCGCGGAAGAUGUAACGGGGCUAAACCAUGCACCGAAGCUGCGGCAGCGAACGUAUCACCCAAGACAACUUUACGGAGUUGACGAUUGACGGAGCGAAGCGACGUCAAAGCGUUCAUUAAAGUCGAGUUGGCUUAGGGAUACGUUCGUUGGGUAGGGGAGCGUUCUGUAAGCCUGUGAAGGUGUGUCGUGAGGCAUGCUGGAGGUAUCAGAAGUGCGAAUGCUGACAUAAGUAACGAUAAAGCGGGUGAAAAGCCCGCUCGCCGGAAGACCAAGGGUUCCUGUCCAACGUUAAUCGGGGCAGGGUGAGUCGACCCCUAAGGCGAGGCCGAAAGGCGUAGUCGAUGGGAAACGGGUUAAUAUUCCCGUACUUGGUGUUACUGCGAAGGGGGGACGGAGAAGGCUAUGUUGGCCGGGCGACGGUUGUCCCGGUUUAAGCGUGUAGGUGUGUGUUCCAGGUAAAUCCGGUUCACUUUAACACUGAGGCGUGACGACGAGGCACUACGGUGCUGAAGCAACAAAUGCCCUGCUUCCAGGAAAAGCCUCUAAGCAUCAGGUAACACGAAAUCGUACCCCAAACCGACACAGGUGGUCAGGUAGAGAAUACCAAGGCGCUUGAGAGAACUCGGGUGAAGGAACUAGGCAAAAUGGUGCCGUAACUUCGGGAGAAGGCACGCUGACACGUAGGUGAAGUG
rnacentral:rRNA from 2 species